rnacentral:rRNA from 1 species
CCUGGUUGAUCCUGCCGGUAGUCAUAUGCUUGUCUCAAAGAUUAAGCCAUGCAUGUGUAAGUAUGAACAAAUUCAGGCUGCGAAUGGCUCAUUAAAUCGAUUAUAGUUUGUUUGAUGGUAUCUUCUACUUUCGGAUAACCGUAGUAAUUCUAGAGCUAUCGUGCAACAAACCCGACUUUUGGAAGGAAGCAUUUAUUAGAUAAAAGGUCCGGCGGGCUUUGCUCGUUGCUCGAUGACUCAUGAUAACUUCGGCGGAUCGCCCCUUGAGCGGCGGCGCAUCAUUCAAAUUUCUGCCCUAUCAACUUUCGAUGGUAGGAUAGUGGCCUACUAUGGUGGUGGCGGGUGGCGGAGAAUUAGGGUUCGAUUCGGAGAGGAGCACGGCGGCUACCACAUCCAAGGAAGGCAGCGGCGCAAAUUACCCAAUCGAUCGGGGAGGUAGUGACAAUAAAUAACAAUACCGGGCUUUAGCGAGUCGUAGUGGAAUGAGUACAAUCUAAAUCCUGCGAGGAUCCAUUGGAGGCAAGUCGGUGCCAGCAGCGGUAAUUCCAGCUCAAUAGCGUAUAUUUAAGUUGUUGCGGUUAAAAAAGCUUCGUAGUUGGAUUUUGGGUUGGGUCGAUCGGUCGCCAUCAGGUGUGUACGGUCGUCCGUCCCUACGGCGGCGAUCGCUCGGCCUUAAUUGGCGGGUGCUGCCUCGGUGCUGUACUUUGAAGAAAUUAGAGUGCUCAAAGCAAGCCUACGCUCUGGAUACAUUAGCAUGGGAUAACAUCAUAGGAUUUGGUCCUAUUACGUUGGCCGGGAUCGAGUAAUGAUUAACGAGGGACGGUCGGGGCAUUAGUAUUUCAUAGUCGAGGUGAAAUUCUUGGAUUUAUGAAAGGCGGACAACUGCAAAGCAUUUGCCAAGAUGUUUUCAUUAAUCAAACGAAAGUUGGGGGCUCGAAGGCGAUCGAAUACCGUCUAGUCUCAACCAUAAGCGAUGCCGACCGAGGGAUCGCGGAUGUUGCUUAUAGGACUCGCUGGCACCUUAUGAAAAUCAAAGUUUUUUGGGUUCGGGGAGUAUGGUGCAAGGCUGAAACUUAAAGGAAUGUGGAAGGGCACCACCGGAGUGGAGCUGCUGGCUUAAUUUGAAACUUACAGGUCGACAUAGUAAGGAUUGAGAUUGAGAGCUCUUUCUUGAUUCUAUGGGUGGUGGUGCAUGGCGUUCUUAGUUGGUGGAAGCGAUUUGUGCAGGUUAAUUCCGUUAGCGAGCGAGACCUCGGCCUGCUAACUAGCUUCGUGGAGGUGCCCCUCCAUGGCUAGCUUCUUAGAGGACUAUGGCCAAUUAGGCCACGGAAGUUUGAGGCAAUAACAGUGCGUGAUGCCCUUAGAUGUUACGGGCGCGCUACUGAUGUAUUCAGCGAGUUUAUAGCCUUGGCGUCAGGUCGGGUAAUCUUUGAAAUUUCAUCGUGAUGGGGAUAGAUCAUUGCAAUUGUUGGUCUUCAGAGGAAUUCCUAGUAGCGAGUCAUCGGCUUCGCGUUGACUACGUCCACGCCCUUUGUACACACCGCCCGUCGCUCCUACCGAUUGAAUGGUCGGUGAAGUGUUGGAUCGGCGGCGUGGGCGGUUUAGCUGGCGGCGUCGCGAAGUCCACUGAACCUUAUCAUUUAGAGGAAGGAGAAGUCGUAACAAGGUUUCCGUAGGUGAACUGCGGAAG